rfam:Olsenella sp. An188 An188_contig_2, whole genome shotgun sequence.
GUGCGCGUAACUUUCUCGCAUCGGGUGCGCCCGCUUGCAAGGGGGAGGGGAAUGGGUCCCCUCCGGUUGCGUCGCGCGGAAGG